rnacentral:lncRNA from 1 species
AGCCACAGAGCUUUUGCUGCUUUAUUGUUCUCACCCCAGGGGUGGAAAGAGUUGGUCUCACAACGAAAGGGGCUGGUGGCCACUCAGGGGUCGGGCAUCCAGAGGGCAGGGCCAGGCCUGGAGAAGAACAUCUCUGGGGCCCAGGGAUCCCCCCGACCCCCCAGGGCCCGUCCACGUGGCCCCGGUUCUGAGGCCCCCGACUCGGUGCCAGCAGGGUCCAGGGGCUCCUACCUGGGGCCCUGGGAUGAGGCGGGUGGUCGCGGGGUCGCGGUGCUCGGCGGCAGCGACUUCGUGGCGUUCGUUGGAGGGAAUUUCGUGGUGUCGGCGGUUUUCUUUGGGGUUUUGUAUUUCUUCGAACUGGGGAACACGUCUGUGCAGUGGUCACGGCGCCGCGGCGAGCGCAGGGAGGCCGGGGGGCGUCCGCGUCCUCCCCCACCCGCUCCCUCCCGUACUCCUCCCCCCCUACCCCCGCUGGCCCACCUGCCGCUGAAGAUCUUCUCCACGUACUUGUUGAGUGGGCCUAGGUUCAGCCACCUGGCCACCCUGGGCCUGGGGGUGUCCACAGCCAGAAGCAGCACGUCACCCGCGGUGCGCUCAGGCAGCAGCAGCAGCGAGAGCAGGCACAGCAGGGCCAGUGCGCACGCACAGCGGGGAGCCGGGAGUCUGCAGGGGCGGGGCAGACAGCGCCGUGGGCGACCACGUGACUCCGGGCAGGUGCGGCCGUACAACGGCUGGGGGGCGCUCGCGGGCUGGUCGGGCUGUGCUGGCGGGGCCUGUCGGAUCCAGGGACGGGUCUGCUUCUGGGGCUCACAAAGGUGCACUGGUGCCCAGGGACAAUGGUGCCCACCUGUACGUGCACAGCGGUGCACACGAGACACCCAGGUGAAAAAGGACGGGGAGGCCCGCGCUGGACGCAGGAGGGCGGCACAGAGCCGCUGCCCAGCCCCCGGAUCGCGCUGGCCUCGCCUGCAAACUCUCUGCUCAUCCUUCCCCAGCCUCUCCCUUGCCUCCUCUCAGUUCCUCAGAAAUACUGGACACGCCAUUCCGUGCCCAGGAAUUCUUCCUCCAGACCCUUUAGGCGCCAGCAAGGGCCCCACCUGA